GGAUUGAGACAUUUGGACCAACCGUGAGUGAUCAACCAUUGGAGCAAGCUAUGGAGCUUGAAUAGCUCAUUGGAAUUGGUGUAUAUUUGUAAAAGUGGAUUGCUGAAACUGUUGGUGAAGAACAAAGGUCGACUGAAGCAUUGAGGUAAGGAUGCUGCAGGAGCCUCUGGUGGCAAGUGGCCAUAUCUGGAUUAUGCAUGAAAUGUGGCAUUUCUUUUGAGUUUAUGCAUGCCUUUUGUAGUUGACAUGUAUAGGAUUUUAUUUUGAAAGCCCAUGGUCAUUUGUAUAUCUUGAUUCAUUGGAUGAACUUAGCCUAUGCUCAUGCCUUUGGUUACACCUUUUGUUGAUGGGAGCCAAGGGAAUGAUCAUAGUGUUUUGUAAGCUAAGUUCUAUGAUUUGUAAAGGAUAUGUAAUGUAAAU